GGGACGAAUAGCUCAGUAAAACUGCGAUGAUUUAGUCUGGCUGUGUAGAUAACUACGUGAAAAUGUAGCUAAGGGAAGGCAGAAUAAGACGCAGGACUAUCAGUUAGUUGGUAGUGUAAUGGACUACCAAGACAGUGACGGUUGACGGGUAAUUAGGGUUUUGUACCGGAGAGGGAGCCUGAGAGAUUGCUCCCACGUCCAAGGACGGCAGCAGGCGCGAAAAUUGCCCACUCUUUGCAGGAGGCAGUUAUGAGACGUGAAGAUGAGUAUCUUGUAAAGAGGGAUAGGAGAAUUGGAGGGCAAGUUUGGUGCCAGCAGCCGCGGUAAUACCGACUCCAAGAGUGUGUAUGAGAGAUGCUGCAGUUAAAAAGUCCGUAGUCAUAGAAGGGCAAAGAGAGAUGCGAGGUCUCACAGUGCGAUGAUGGAGGAGCCGAUGGGGAACAUAGUAUACCAGGGCGAGAGAUGAAAUG
rnacentral:rRNA from 1 species